AUUGAACGCUGGCGGCAUGCUUUACACAUGCAAGUCGAACGGCAGCGCGGGCUUCGGCCUGGCGGCGAGUGGCGAACGGGUGAGUAAUACAUCGGAACGUGCCCAGUAGUGGGGGAUAGCUCGGCGAAAGCCGGAUUAAUACCGCAUACGACCUGAGGGUGAAAGCGGGGGAUCUUCGGACCUCGCGCUAUUGGAGCGGCCGAUGGCAGAUUAGCUAGUUGGUGGGGUAAAGGCCUACCAAGGCGACGAUCUGUAGCUGGUCUGAGAGGACGACCAGCCACACUGGGACUGAGACACGGCCCAGACUCCUACGGGAGGCAGCAGUGGGGAAUUUUGGACAAUGGGCGAAAGCCUGAUCCAGCAAUGCCGCGUGUGUGAUGAAGGCCUUCGGGUUGUAAAGCACUUUUGGCGGGAACGAAAGGGGCUGUGCCAAUACCACGGUUCGAUGACGGUACCCGCAGAAUAAGCACCGGCUAACUACGUGCCAGCAGCCGCAGUAAAAC
rnacentral:rRNA from 1 species